rnacentral:rRNA from 2 species
UGUGAACGUUACCAAACUGUUGCCUCGGCGGGGUCACGCCCCGGGUGCGUCGCAGCCCCGGAACCAGGCGCCCGCCGGAGGAACCAACCAAACUCUUUCUGUAGUCCCCUCGCGGACGUAUUUCUUACAGCUCUGAGCAAAAAUUCAAAAUGAAUCAAAACUUUCAACAACGGAUCUCUUGGUUCUGGCAUCGAUGAAGAACGCAGCGAAAUGCGAUAAGUAAUGUGAAUUGCAGAAUUCAGUGAAUCAUCGAAUCUUUGAACGCACAUUGCGCCCGCCAGUAUUCUGGCGGGCAUGCCUGUCCGAGCGUCAUUUCAACCCUCGAACCCCUCCGGGGGAUCGGCGUUGGGGAUCGGGACCCCUCACACGGGUGCCGGCCCCGAAAUACAGUGGCGGUCUCGCCGCAGCCUCUCCUGCGCAGUAGUUUGCACAACUCGCACCGGGAGCGCGGCGCGUCCACGUCCGUAAAACACCCAACUUUCUGAAAUGUUGACCUCGGAUCAGGUAGGAAUACCCGCUGAACUUAAGCAUAUCAAUAAGCGGAGGA